AGUAAACGCUGGCGGUAGGCCUAACACAUGCAAGUCGAACGGCAGCACAGUAAGAGCUUGCUCUUACGGGUGGCGAGUGGCGGACGGGUGAGGAAUACAUCGGAAUCUACUUUUUCGUGGGGGAUAACGUAGGGAAACUUACGCUAAUACCGCAUACGACCUACGGGUGAAAGCAGGGGAUCUUCGGACCUUGCGCGAUUGAAUGAGCCGAUGUCGGAUUAGCUAGUUGGCGGGGUAAAGGCCCACCAAGGCGACGAUCCGUAGCUGGUCUGAGAGGAUGAUCAGCCACACUGGAACUGAGACACGGUCCAGACUCCUACGGGAGGCAGCAGUGGGGAAUAUUGGACAAAGGGCGCAAGCCUGAUCCAGCCAUACCGCGUGGGUGAAGAAGGCCUUCGGGUUGUAAAGCCCUUUUGUUGGGAAAGAAAAGCAGCAGGUUAAUACCCCGCUGUUCUGACGGUACCCAAAGAAUAAGCACCGGCUAACUUCGUG
rnacentral:rRNA from 1 species